rnacentral:rRNA from 1 species
GAUGAACGCUAGCGAUAGGCUUAACACAUGCAAGUCCCGGGGCAGCAUGGUCUUAGCUUGCUAAGACUGAUGGCGACCGGCGCACGGGUGCGUAACGCGUAUGCAACUUGCCUCACAGAGGGGGAUAACCCGUCGAAAGACGGACUAAUACCGCGUACACUUGGGAUAGGGCAUCCUGACCCAAGGAAAUGAAAUUCGCUGUGAGAUAGGCAUGCGUCCCAUUAGCUAGUUGGUGAGGUAACGGCUCACCAAGGCGACGAUGGGUAGGGGAACUGAGAGGUUGAACCCCCACACUGGUACUGAGACACGGACCAGACUCCUACGGGAGGCAGCAGUGAGGAAUAUUGGUCAAUGGGCGAGAGCCUGAACCAGCCAAGUCGCGUGAAGGAUGACUGUCUUAUGGAUUGUAAACUUCUUUUAUACGGGAAUAACAAGAGUCACGUGUGGCUCCCUGCAUGUACCGUAUGAAUAAGCAUCGGCUAACUCCGUG